rnacentral:rRNA from 1 species
GACGAACGCUGGCGGCGUGCUUAACACAUGCAAGUCGAACGGAAAGGCCCUGCUUUUGUGGGGUGCUCGAGUGGCGAACGGGUGAGUAACACGUGAGUAACCUGCCCUUGACUUUGGGAUAACUUCAGGAAACUGGGGCUAAUACCGGAUAGGAGCUCCUGCUGCAUGGUGGGGGUUGGAAAGUUUCGGCAGUUGGGGAUGGACUCGCGGCUUAUCAGCUUGUUGGUGGGGUAGUGGCUUACCAAGGCUUUGACGGGUAGCCGGCCUGAGAGGGUGACCGGCCACAUUGGGACUGAGAUACGGCCCAGACUCCUACGGGAGGCAGCAGUGGGGAAUAUUGCACAAUGGGCGGAAGCCUGAUGCAGCAACGCCGCGUGCGGGAUGACGGCCUUAGGGUUGUAAACCGCUUUCGCCUGUGACGAAGCGUGAGUGACGGUAAUGGGUAAAGAAGCACCGGCUAACUACGUG